GGGUAGGUAUACUAUUCAAUAAGUAGUCAUACUGUAAAUAUGAAAAUGAGAAAUUCUCCUUACCCU
rnacentral:tRNA from 1 species